GGGCAGAUGAUGCAAGAAAUGUAUAUAUUCUCUGAUUUAUCAAUGAAGCUUCAAAUAUCGAGCUUUUUAAACCUGAUGGCUCC